CACUGCAAGGCCUCCCCAAUCAACGCUGCCAGCCUCUGACUCAUCCCCACCGGUGUUGCCUGCCUCCAACUCAUCUCAUCGCCUUGCUGGACUAGGCAAUGCAGCCUCGAAGCCCUGUGCGUCAACCUCCUCCAUAGCGUCGCUGACCUCCCAUCGGCGUCAGGACCAUCUAGAUCCGCAUGGCCUGCCGUAGCUUCCACCCCAGCGCGACGACCUUUGGCUCGGCACCCUCCUCCCCUGCCCAGCACCUUCAGUCCUCUCGGCAACCACCUGGUUAAGGUUCCUAAUUGACCGUGCAAUGCUGCAUAUAUUUGAAGAUAAUGCUCAACUUCUCAAUCAAACAGAAAGCGCCAUGGAGUCUGCAAGGGAUCAAGCUCCAAAAGAAGUUGAAGAAUCAAAAUCUGCAAACAAGAUUGAGUGAAGUUAUCUCAGAGUUUAGUAAAUCAAGCAAGUUUUUUGGUGAACAUAUUUAGUCCACUGGUUCAAGGAAAAAUGCCAAGUACAUGGUAGUUGCUCAAGGAGGUAUAAGCCAUUGUAGUCUGCCGACUGCAUGAUAGGAGUAGGGGCAAAAAUCCAAAAAUAGGCGAUAGACGUUAUCGUAUUUAUUAAAAUAGAUAAUAUAUUGAUGUAUUUACAAAUUUAACACAUAUAUUUUGCACCUUAAAUUACUGAAAAUCGAUUCUUAUAUCUGAGGCAUCGAAAACUUAUGUACUUGGCAAGGUGUUAAAUACAGUACU